rnacentral:rRNA from 1 species
UACAGAGGUCUCAAGCGUUGUUCGGAUUCAUUGGGCGUAAAGGGUGCGUAGGUGGCGCGGUAAGUCGGGUGUGAAAUUCGGAGCUUAACUCCGAAACUGCAUUCGAUACUGCCGUGCUUGAGGACUGGAGAGGAGACUGGAAUUACGGUGUAGCAGUGAAAUGCGUAGAGAUCGUAAGGAAGACCAGUGGCGAAGGCGGGUCUCUGGACAGUUCCUGACACUGAGGCACGAAGGCCAGGGGAGCAAACGGG